rnacentral:rRNA from 1 species
AGAGUUUGAUCAUGGCUCAGAUUGAACGCUGGCGGCAGGCCUAACACAUGCAAGUCGAACGGUGACAGGAAUCAGCUUGCUGCUUCGCUGACGAGUGGCGGACGGGUGAGUAAUGUCUGGGAAACUGCCUGAUGGAGGGGGAUAACUACUGGAAACGGUAGCUAAUACCGCAUAAUGUCGCAAGACCAAAGAGGGGGACCUUCGGGCCUCUUGCCAUCGGAUGUGCCCAGAUGGGAUUAGCUUGUUGGUGGGGUAACGGCUCACCAAGGCGACGAUCCCUAGCUGGUCUGAGAGGAUGACCAGCCACACUGGAACUGAGACACGGUCCAGACUCCUACGGGAGGCAGCAGUGGGGAAUAUUGCACAAUGGGCGCAAGCCUGAUGCAGCCAUGCCGCGUGUAUGAAGAAGGCCUUCGGGUUGUAAAGUACUUUCAGCGGGGAGGAAGGGAGUAAAGUUAAUACCUUUGCUCAUUGACGUUACCCGCAGAAGAAGCACCGGCUAACUCCGUGCCAGCAGCCGCGGUAAUACGGAGGGUGCAAGCGUUAAUCGGAAUUACUGGGCGUAAAGCGCACGCAGGCGGUUUGUUAAGUCAGAUGUGAAAUCCCCGGGCUCAACCUGGGAACUGCAUCUGAUACUGGCAAGCUUGAGUCUCGUAGAGGGGGGUAGAAUUCCAGGUGUAGCGGUGAAAUGCGUAGAGAUCUGGAGGAAUACCGGUGGCGAAGGCGGCCCCCUGGACGAAGACUGACGCUCAGGUGCGAAAGCGUGGGGAGCAAACAGGAUUAGAUACCCUGGUAGUCCACGCCGUAAACGAUGUCGACUUGGAGGUUGUGCCCUUGAGGCGUGGCUUCCGGAGCUAACGCGUUAAGUCGACCGCCUGGGGAGUACGGCCGCAAGGUUAAAACUCAAAUGAAUUGACGGGGGCCCGCACAAGCGGUGGAGCAUGUGGUUUAAUUCGAUGCAACGCGAAGAACCUUACCUGGUCUUGACAUCCACGGAAGUUUUCAGAGAUGAGAAUGUGCCUUCGGGAACCGUGAGACAGGUGCUGCAUGGCUGUCGUCAGCUCGUGUUGUGAAAUGUUGGGUUAAGUCCCGCAACGAGCGCAACCCUUAUCCUUUGUUGCCAGCGGUCCGGCCGGGAACUCAAAGGAGACUGCCAGUGAUAAACUGGAGGAAGGUGGGGACGACGUCAAGUCAUCAUGGCCCUUACGACCAGGGCUACACACGUGCUACAAUGGCGCAUACAAAGAGAAGCGACCUCGCGAGAGCAAGCGGACCUCAUAAAGUGCGUCGUAGUCCGGAUUGGAGUCUGCAACUCGACUCCAUGAAGUCGGAAUCGCUAGUAAUCGUGGAUCAGAAUGCCACGGUGAAUACGUUCCCGGGCCUUGUACACACCGCCCGUCACACCAUGGGAGUGGGUUGCAAAAGAAGUAGGUAGCUUAACCUUCGGGAGGGCGCUUACCACUUUGUGAUUCAUGACUGGGGUGAAGUCGUAACAAGGUAACCGUAGGGGAACCUGCGGUUG